UUUACAUCACCACUAUUCUCUACUUACAAUCAAAACCUAUCACUAUCACAAAACACUACAGCUACAUACCUACAAGCAUGCGGAAGUAACGCGUGAGAGUAAAAAGAAGAAAAAUGAGAGAAGACAAAUCAGCCGCAACUCUACCUAUUCUAUCUCAAGGCUUUCACAUGGCAUAGAGGAUUAGAUACUCAAGUAUAACUACCAAACUCACGCCUUUAACAAUUCAGCAGCAAACUUCCUUCUUGAAUUUCAGCCUGCAUUCAGUAUGAAAGCAAUCCACAGUUCAUUUCAGUUCCUAUCCUCUGGAUUCAACAACAGCAGCAGCCAACCAUGCACCAAACAUUCACAAAGCAUUCAAGGUCGAGCGCAAGAAUAAGAGCUCGUCAAGGAGUCACUAAUCUGUAGCAAAGCUUUGCUAUCAGGUUGAGCAGUAGACGAUGGUGAUGAAGUGACGAGUGGAAUCCUCUUUUGUCGCAAUAUUAUAUGCUAUGAAAAACUCUAGGGUUACAUGUCUUCAUACAUGUAAUCAGAACCUUAUUCCGCUGCGUACUCAGAAGUUUUAUGUUAUUUUGGCUAAGUCAGAGUUAUCUGAACUUAUUAGUUAUUUGAGUCUAUACGACUAAACCUCUGUUAUAUUAUAAAU